UACGUAGGGGGCUAGCGUUGUCCGGAUUCAUUGGGCGUAAAGAGCGUGUAGGCGGCCAUGUAGGUCCGGUGUGAAAACUCGAGGCUUAACCUCGAGAUGUCAUCGGAAACCAUUUGGCUAGAGUCCGGAAGAGGAGAGUGGAAUUCCUGGUGUAGCGGUGAAAUGCGCAGAUAUCAGGAAGAACACCAAUGGCGAAAGCAGCUCUCUGGGACGGUACUGACGCUGAGACGCGAAAGCGUGGGGAGCAAACAGG
rnacentral:rRNA from 1 species